AGCAGCCGCGGUAAUUCCAGCUCCAAUAGCGUAUAUUAAAGUUGUUGCAGUUAAAAAGCUCGUAGUUGAAUUUCGGGAUUAGUGCGCUGGUCAUGCCUUUGGUAUGUACUGGUGUUACUGAUUUCUACCUUCUGAAGAACCGUUAUGUCAUUUAUUUGGUGUGGCGGGAAAUCAGGACUGUUACUUUGAAAAAAUUAGAGUGUUUAAAGCAGGCUCGCGCUUGAAUACAUUAGCAUGGAAUAAUGAAAUAGGACGUUUGACCCUAUUUUGUUGGUUUCUAGGAUCGACGUAAUGAUUAAUAGGGAUAGUUGGGGGCAUUAGUAUUCGAUUGUCAGAGGUGAAAUUCUUGGAUUUAUUGAGGACUAACUACUGCGAAAGCAUUUGCCAAGGAUGUUUUCAUUCAUCAGAACGAAAGUUAGGGGAUCGAAGACGAUCAAUACCGUCGUAGUCUAACCAUAACUACGCCGACUAGGGAUCGGAUGAUGUUAUUUUUAAUGACUCA
rnacentral:rRNA from 1 species